AGAAAAUGAACAGAAAUAUCAAGACACUGGAAAAAACAACAUUGAAAUAGAAUUUUUAUGAACUGCUGAGCUGAGAGCUGAGCUGGUACCAGCAGAGUGGGAUCAGUCAGUGGUCAGAUACCAUAUGCUGGAUUUCCAUAUUUUUCAGCCAUCUUUAAGACUGAUUCCUUGUGUUACAUGAGCAAGAGGGAGCCUGGAACUACACAACCUGUUGUUAAAGAAACCUACACCAUCACCAGGCAUCAGCUCCACUCUCCAGAGGCCCAGUCUCCAGACAAUCAACUCGUGUGCUGUUAGUGCUUUGUUUCUCUCACUUCUCCUGUGUACAUAUGAAACUGUCGAGCUGAAUUACACUUUAUAAGGUGAUAGGGAAAAGAUGUAACAUUUAUUUUUCCCUUUGACUAAUUUUUACAGUGUGGGGAAGCUAAUUUUUGCAGGCUAAAAACCAACAAAGCAAAACAAGUCCUGCUAUUCUUGACAUCUUUCAGGUAAACAAGAAAAGAAUUUGACAUCAUUUGCAAUUAUUAUCACUUUUUAAAAGCUCUGCUUUUAUAAUCAGAUGAGGCAUGACAACAAAUGAUGCUUAUUGAAAUCUAAAUUUUUACAUUAAAUACACCAAAUGAGCACAAAAGUAGAAUUUUAAGCCUAGAUGGAAAUCUGGUAUCACCUUCCAAAUCCCAUUUCCCACUGUUUUAAGGGGGAGUUGAACAUUGUGCAGCCUCACUGUAGAGAACAAUCGUUCCCUAUUAGUGCAGAUAUUUGACAUCUUCUCUAUGAAUCUUGAAAAGAGGGCCCAAAUCAGUGAUUUUUCUUGGUGUUUCACUGAAAUUUGUCUUGUGUGGACACCACUACUUUCCAGCCAUGUAAGCUUUUUUGAUACUGGACAAUGGAUUUCAAAGACCUGCUCAAGCUCCUGAAUGUGUGCUCCCUAUGGCAGACAGAGUGUACUCAUUUCUGACUCUUCAGAUAAGAGAUUUGCAAUUUCUAUGCCAAACCAGUCAAACCCCACAUCUUAUUUCAUUCACUAGAAAAUUAAAAUUGUGCACUAUACACAACACCGAUGUUUCUGUUCCCUGCCAGCACUUUGAUCCAUCUGACGGGAAAGUUCCCUCUAUGGAGUGUUUUCUACCUUGGUACCAGCACGAUGAUUCAGAAACCCUUGAAGAUAUAGUCAUAUUUUCAGCAACAGAUGGAUUUAACACUGCAGAUGGAGUGUUAAGAGUGCAGCACAGAGGUUGUUCUGCUUCGGAGAGGUUCCGUCUUAGCUUUCACCAGCAGGACAGGACAUUUGGUACUCAUCUGUGAGAAACAGAUCAGAGAAGGUGUCCAGUGCGUUAUAGGACUGACCACACUGAAUGCUGAAGACCUUGCCAUCCCCAUGGAUGCACCAAGCAUCUCCAUCCUCACCCUCUCAUCAGC